GACGAACGCUGGCGGCGUGCUUAACACAUGCAAGUCGAACGGUGAAGCGCCUUCCUUUUGGUGGGUGUGGAUGAGUGGCGAACGGGUGAGUAACACGUGAGUAACCUGCCCCCUUCUUCUGGAUAACCGCAUGAAAGUGUGGCUAAUACGGGAUAUUCUGGGUCUGUCGCAUGAUGGGUCUGGGAAAGAUAUUGUUUCGGUGGGGGAUGGGCUCGCGGCCUAUCAGCUUGUUGGUGGGGUGAUGGCCUACCAAGGCGGUGACGGGUAGCCGGCCUGAGAGGGUGGACGGUCACACUGGGACUGAGACACGGCCCAGACUCCUACGGGAGGCAGCAGUGGGGAAUAUUGCACAAUGGGCGCAAGCCUGAUGCAGCGACGCCGCGGGAGGGAUGGAGGCCUUCGGGUUGUGAACCUCUUUCGCCAGUGAAGCAGGCCUGCCUCGUUUGUGGGUGGGUUGACGGUAGCUGGAUAAGAAGCGCCGGCUAACUACGUG
rnacentral:rRNA from 1 species